CGCAAUUUCUGUGGAUCGAUCCGAGCCAUCAUAACCUAGCCGCAACCGCAAAAUCCUCCCUUGUCGUUGCCCCCAUCCAUGUCCACCUCGACCCGAUCACCGCUCCCGCCAGCAGACCCCGAGGCAGAGAGAUCACCGGCCCAGGUUUAUUUCCCCUUCAAUACCAUCCCCUACCUUGCCGCCAUCACCAAGAGUUAAGUUUGACUGAGGACGCCCGGUGCCAGCAAUCGCCGGAGAAAGACGGGCACGAGAAGGAGAAGCCGCUGGCCCGCUCCGCAGCGGCGACGCUCCUGCGAACCUCGCGAACCCAGGGAAGAAGAUGUGCCGCUUGGAAUCUGUUCCGUCCAUCCUCUACAGGUCAGUUUCUCUACCCCUUCUGUACAUCCCCUAUUUUUGAUGGAUUCACUUACUUGAUCUGAUCUCUAUUUUGGGGGAAGAGGAGAUCAGAGGAUGAGCACCAGAUGAUCCGACUACAGAAACUGAGAGAAAUCAGAGACUUGACAGCCGUGAUUUAUUGCUUCUUAUAUCACGCAGGCAUUAGGGCUCUCCCAAUCUCAUCCUAGAGGAAUAGGACACCUUGCAUGACCGUGAGCACCGCUGCUCAUCGCAGCUUGUCAGAUUAGGCUGGUUCAAGCAGUGUCUUAGGCAUGCUACUAUCCAAGGCGGUCUUCGCGCUUCCACCCUACAUCCACGCUAUCCACCAUGUCUCUCCCUAGAUGUGUGGGGAGGAGCAAGCAGGAGGGAAGGAGGAGCACGCAUGACUCCUCUGUCCUGGCCAUCAACACCAAAAUUUGUUCAUAGUUAUUCAGGUGCACUAUUUAGUUAUAUAUGUUAGGAAAAUCUCCCUCGGUGGAGAUCCUGCAGUACUAUAAUUUUGUAGCUUCCUUGUAAUGUAUAAGAUCACGAUAUACACCACAUUCAGUUGCAAGGACGAUGGCGAUGAAAGUUGACAAGGUACUUGAAAGACUACCUGGAAGGAAGAAAAAGAUGACCGUGGUAAGCCAUUCUGAGCUGAAGUGUUAUAUUUUUCUUAUCAACAGCUCCUCAAAAUGCCAUGCCUUACCAAUUCAGAGGUUUUUGACCCUGAUAAAAAAUGUAUUAUUAUUCUAUUCUAUUGGCCAUUAUGAAGGAUGCAUACUGAAAAAAUUCAACAGAAGGCACAUUUUUGCAAGUCAUUGACAGUCUAUAUUUUUUUAAGUUGGAAGAGUGUGUCAUUGACACCCUUGAUCUGAGGGCUACACUUUGCAUAUUGACUUGAUACAUGCACUGUUUUUAAUUACCAUUUCUACCGUUUCUCAGAUUUUGAACGUGAAACCAGGAGAAAUGUUCUUGGGAUUCUUGCCGAAUGAGUAAUCCUACUUAAUAUGCUUUUGUUAUUUGGAACCUAUUACAGCGGUCUGUCAUGAGCAUAGGGCAUUGCUGCAUUUUAUCUGGAUGUGUACAGAUUUGUCAUAAUACUACCGUUUAUUUUGCAUCAUUCAUUUAGUCCAGUUUAGUCCUCACAUAUGUUCAUCUUACUGUUCAUUAGAUGGUGUUCGACCUUAAGAGCUGGUGAUUUCUGUACAUGCGCUGAACCAACGAAAGUUGUCAUAGAUUUUGUAGCUUUUACUUGGUAAGAACUAAGAAUAAUGUACACUCGUACUUGCUUAAUUUUUAAAUAGUUAAGUUUGUAAUGUACAUGAACAAGUGCAGCCACACGACUCACUUAAUACUCCUUCCAAUCCAGAAUAAGUGUCAGAUUUGAACUAAGGAUAAACUAACCUUAGUUCAAAAUUGCAACACGUAUUUUGGAUCGGAGGGAGUAGUAUUUAGCGAUGUCUUUGCCUUAUUAUUUAUACUACUAAAUUUUCAUGUAUUAAUGUGAACAGAAAGGCCAUGGUUGCAUAUUGGUUCUAUAUAAGUAUUACUUCCACUGUUUUUCCCUAUACAAAUAUAUAAGGCUCUACUAACUAUAACUUUCCAUUUGGCUUCACUUUCCUGUUACAAUAAUCUUUUGGCACAUUGGUGGUCAUAAAAUGCGGGGUUGUAGAUUUAUGAUCCAAUUUAUGAAAUGCUACAAAAAUCUUAGUAGACAUGAAACUCAAAGGAUGGCCAAUAUGACAAUCAAAUUAUAGAAAAUGACAGUUACUUGAAAAGAUAAAUAUUUGGUUUGCCUUACAUGAUGGUUUUGAAGUUCUAUC